UACGGAGGGGACUAGCGUUGUUCGGAAUUACUGGGCGUAAAGCGCACGUAGGCGGAUUUGUAAGUCAGGGGUGAAAUCCCGGGGCUCAACCUCGGAACUGCCUUUGAUACUGCAAAUCUCGAGUCCGGAAGAGGUGAGUGGAAUUCCUAGUGUAGAGGUGAAAUUCGUAGAUAUUAGGAAGAACACCAGUGGCGAAGGCGGCUCACUGGUCCGGUACUGACGCUGAGGUGCGAAAGCCAGGGGAGCGAACGGG
rnacentral:rRNA from 1 species